UAUAUUUUGGUGUAAGAUGCACGAGGAGUUUUGAUUUCCUAAGAUUUAGUUUAAAUCUAAAAAAUAUAA
rnacentral:tRNA from 1 species